CUAUAAGUAGUCUGCAAUCCGCCAUUUUAACAAAUACGAAGAAGAGUGUUUGAAUGACGUGGCUUUCAGCUUAGACGGAAGAGAGCCAGCUUCAUUUGCAGGAGCCCUGGACUAUCACUUAAGCGUCAUUCAAAACAGAAACAACACAAACAUUAAGGAUGGUGACUGAUGUUCAGCUGGCAAUCUUUGCCAACAUGCUUGGAGUGUCGUUAUUCCUGCUGGUUGUGCUCUAUCAUUAUGUUGCUGUGAAUAAUCCCAAGAAGCAGGAGUAGAUUUCACUACAAUGACUGGAGAAGUGAGAUAAGAGUCGGAGUCCCAAUCUUCCCAUCCAGUUCACCUUUAGAAGAUGUUCUGUUGCACCACAUUGUUUUAUUUCUAAUAAAAAAAAAAUGUUGAAUUCA